rnacentral:lncRNA from 1 species
GACAACCAGCCUUGCUCACGAAGCGUCAGCCGUAUCCUUUCUGUGUGCAGUGGGGUGUGGGUUGUGUGGAGCCGCGGUGUCUGUGGAAUUCACAGGCUGGGGCCGGAAUCCAUGGCCCCCGUCGCCGCUGCCACCCCCCAGGUGCUGGGGUGACCUGAUCCAGGGUUGGGGUCUAAGCUGCUGGGGGGUUGGAGUCUUGGGCUCUGGCCCACGUCCGCCUCUGAUUGGUUCUACCACCUGAGCCGGUCACUGACCCUCCAUGGGCCUCAGCUUACCCUAUGGUAAAGUGAGAACUAGGGGGUCAGACUCCUUGAUCACCAAGAUCUCUGACCACAGCCAAGGCUAAGGGAAGCGCAGGAAAACGUGGGGCUCGUCCAAAUUCCCAGCCUCUCUCUGCCCCCUGGUGGACGCCGGCAGCCUAGCACCCGGGGGGAGAUGACCCCGACACUGUGUGACCUCUGCCAAGGCACCCAUCCCUCUGAGCCCCAGUUCCCACCGGUUACAUAGGAAUGAUUAUAAUACCCACCUCUUUGGGCAAUUGUGAGGAGGCAAGGAGAUAAUACAUGCAAAGUGCUUGGAUGGGAUGGGUACUAGCCACUCAACAGAAGGCAGAUCCUAGAAUGGGGAUGGCAAGUCCUGUCAUCAGUGAAGAAUGUAAUGACUGCAAGCUUAGAUGACAUGUCUGUUACUGGAAACCAGAGUUGUUUACUUAAGCUGUAAAUGAACUCAUAGUCCCUGGGAUAAUUAUCUCACCUCUGGAUAAAUAAACUCAACAGCCUUAUGUAUUUUAUUAAUUUUUCUUAAAAAAAAGCUUAAAAUAUUUUUCCUUUGAUUUGUUCUCUUUCUUUGGUUUCUGACUUUAUUAUGUCCUUUCUUUCUGCUUAGGCAUUUGUUUUAUUGCUCUUUUUUCACCAACUCAAACUGAAUGGUCACCUUAACAGUUUUAUUGAGAUCCAUUAUUUAUUCUUCUCCAUCUUGUUCUGUGUUCCUGGAAGCCAACCUUUAUAAGCUGCAGGAAAUGGAUUUCCUACUCUCCACCUUCUGAUUGGGCUUGACCAACGGGGAGCACUGGCAGAAGACAAGCAUGGGAGGAAAAAGAGAUCAGGGCUGGAGUGCAGUGG